GGAACACGUAACAAUUUGUCCUAAAUCUGAGAGAGAAUGGAAUGAGCGGGCAAAAGAAAAGGGAUGUGAAACGCUAGCUCAACAUCAAAAGUGCACAUCAGUAGAGACGUUCUCCUAUCACUGCAUUCUAAAUGCAGAUGCAACAAGACUGGUUGAAGUCUGUGCUCCUAAGUGGUUUAUUACUGGAUACUGUGCACGAUUUAGUACACAAGAGCAGCGAAUAAUAAACGACCCUGGAAUUGACUGUACAAAGUUUAUCCCUCCAUGUCCACCAAGAUAUAAUUCAACAGAAGCUCACAAAUAUCAAAACUGUUAUGCUGAAGUUGAAAGAACCUCCAAUGUAAAUGUUCAUGACUCCUCUGUUUUUUCCUCGCCGGUCGUAUGGACAUUGACAGCUCUGAGCUGUGGUUUACUUAUUGCAUUAAUCAUCAUUACAACACUAUAUAUUCGGGGAC